GUCCCCCUUGGGAUUCUCAGACGCCUCCGCACACGCACGCACGAUUCGAGAACUCCGCACAAGCGGUAGGAAGGAAGGAAACAAGGAAAAAGGGUAGCAAGGAGCAGAGACAAAGGAGGAAGAAGAACAAGGUUGCAGAGAGCGUCUGAUCUCCCAGGUCAAGGAUAUUUAUCUAACAAAUAAAAGCUAGCCGUUCCACAAUCUGAAAGAGUCUAGAGAUUCUGGGGAAAAUAAUAGGAAGAAGGCUGCUUACAGUAACUUCAUCAGUCGAAUUCGGUAGUUGUUUCAUCAUGUGAGGGUGGCACAUCGCAGCAAAUCCUGCACGCCUUACUGAAAAUCUCUGACUAGUGUAUACUGGCGGCCAUGGCCACCACCGUCCCACCAUUCCGCAUCGUAAGAUGUCCAAGAUGCAAGAAGCUUCUUACUGAAUUUGCCAAUGUUCCCGUGUACCAGUGUGGCGAAUGUGGCACGACUCUGCGAGCAAAGCACUACAAUGCUACCAGGAAAGAUAUCAUCGUCCCACUGCCGGAGAACCGACCAGAUUGUGGCUCCAUGGACAAUGGAUUGCAAUCUAAGAAUGAAACGGCUGUUUGUGCAACAAAUGAUCGAGUACAGAGUGCGGACUCUCCAAAUCCACAAUCAUCUUCUGUGUUGCCAGAAUUAAUGUCUGAUCUCCGAGACAUUAAUGGCUGUUUGUGCAACAAUGCUAUGGCUGUUUGUGCAAAAUGCUAUGGUUCUUACUUCUUACAUAUGGUUUCUGAAUUUAUUCAGAAGUAAUUCACCGAGACAGUGCACCUUUUUUCCGAUUUCUUCUAUAAAUACCAUAAGUAAAGUGCACCUA